ensembl:misc_RNA
UUGACAGCUUUUAAGUUCUGUAUUUACACAAAAGAUACACAAUGGGCAGCAGCAGUGCAAGCUUCCAUACACUUCUCCAUCAAUGUGUCUAAACUUUUAUUGGGGGCAACACUUCUAGAGGUGAGAGGAUAAUUUAUUGUCUUUCUCCAUUCUUUACUUGGCAUCU